CAGUGCCCGCGGCCUGUUUUUGGCACACGGAGGCCCCUCGCAAAGUCUCGCGCCUUUCCGAGUCCGGCGGACGAAGUGGGCCAGCCCCACCCCCCAAGGCUAUAGCCCACCCGUUUUCGUGGCCUUUUUCCGCUAGACGAACUUGGCGGCCCGGCCUUCGGGCGGUUAUUUUCGGGGGCGGCAGUGCCCGCGGUCUAUUUUUGGCACACGGAGGCCACUCGUAAAGUCUACCGCCAUUCAGAGUCUGGCGGACGAAGUUCGCCAGCCCCACCCCCCAAGGCUAUAGCCCACCCGUUUUCGUGGCCUUUUUCCGCUGGACGAACUUGGCGCCCCGGCCUUGGAGCAGUUAUUUUUGGGCACGGCUGUACCCGCGGCCUAUUUUUCGCACACGGAGGCUGCUCCCAAAGUCUCGCGCUAUUCCGAGUCCGGCGGACGAAGUUGGCCAGCCCCACCCCCCAAGGCUAUAGCCCACCCGUUUUUGUCGACUUUUUCCGCUGGACGAAGUUGGCGCCCAGGCUUUCGGGCAGUUAUUUUUGGACGCGGCUGUGCCCGCGGCAUAUUUUUGGCACACGGAGGCCGCUCGCAAAGUCUCGCGCCAUUCCGAGUCCGGCGGACGAAGUUGGCCAGCCCCACCUCCCAAGGCUAUAGCCCACCCGUUUUUGUGGCCUUUUUCCGCUGGACGAACUUGGCGCCCCGGCCUUCGGGCGGUUAUUUUUGGGCGCAGCUGUGCCCGCAGCCUAUUUUUGGCACACAGAGGCCGCUCGAAAAGUCUCGCGCCAUUCCGAGUCCGGCGGACGAAGUUGGCCUGCCCCACCCCCCAAGGCUAUAGCCCACCCGUUCUUGUGGCCUUUUUCCACUGGACGAACUUGGCGCCCCGGCCUUCGGGCUGUUAUUUUUGGGUGCGGCAGUGCCCGCGGCCUAUUUUUGGCACAUGGAGGCCGCUCGUAAAGUCUACCGCCAUUCAGAGUCUGGCGGACGAAGUGCGCCAGCCCCACCCCCCAAGGCUAUAGCCCACCCGUUUUCGUGGCCUUUUUACGUUGGACGAACUUGGCGCCCCGGCCUUCGAGUUAUUUUUGGGCAUGGCUGUGCCCGCGGCCUAUUUUUCGCACACGGAGGCCGCUCGCAAAGUCUCGCGCCAUUCCGAGUCCGGCGGACGAAGUUGGCCAGCCCCACCCCCCAAGGCUAUAGCCCACCCGUUUUUGUGGCCUUUUUCCACUGGACGAACUUGGCGCCCCGACCUUCGGGCGGUUAUUUUUGGGCGCGGCUGUGCCCGCGGCCUAUUUUUGGCACACGGAGGGACCUCGCAAAGUCUCGCGCCAUUUCGAGUGUGGCGGACGAAGUCGGCCAGCCCCACCCCCAAAGGCUAUAGCCCACCCGUUUUUGUGGCCUUUUUCCGCUGGACGAACUUGGCGCCCCGGCCUUCGGGUGUUUAUUUUUGGGCGCGGCUGUGCCCACGGCCUAUUUUUGGCGCUCAGGGGCGCAUUGCAAAGUCUCACGCCAUUCCGAGUCCGGCGGACAAAGUUGGCCAGCCCCACCCCCCAAGGCUAUAGCCCACCCGUUUUUGUGGGCUUUUUCCACUGGACGAACUUGGCGCCCCGGCCUUCGGUCGGUUAUUUUUGGGUACGGCUGUGCCCACGGCCCAUUUUUGGCACACGGAGGCACCGUGCAAAGUGUCGCACCAUCCGAGUCCGGCGGACGAAGUGGGCCAGCCCCACCCCCCAAGGCUAUAGCCCACCCGUUUUUCUGGGCUUUUUCCGCUGGACGAACUUGGCGCCCCGGCCUUCGGGCGGUUAUUUUUGGGCGCAACUGUGCCCGUUCCCUAUUUUUGGCACACGGAGGCGCCUCACAAAGUCUCGCGCCAUUCCGAGUCCGGGGGACGAAUUUGGCCAGCCCCACCCCCCAAGGCUAUAGCCCACCCGUUUUUGUGGGCUAUUUCCGCAGGACGAACUUGGCGCCCCGGCCUUCGGGUGGUUAUUUUUGGGUGCGGCUUUGCCCGUGGCCUAUUUUUGGCACACGGAGGCCCCUCACAAAGUCUCGCGGCAUUCCGAGUCCGGCGGACGAAGUUGGCCAGCCCCACCCCCCAAGGCUAUAGCCCACCCGUUUUUGUGGCCUUUUUCCGCUGUAUGAACUUGGCGCCCCGGCCUUCAGGCGGUUAUUUUUGGGCGCGGCUUUGCCCACCGCCUAUUUUUGGCAAACGUAGGUGGCUCGCAUACUCUCGCGCCAUUCCGGGUCCGGCAGACGAAGUUGGCCAGCCCCACCCCCCAAGGCUAUAGCCCACCCAUUUUUGGGGCCUUUUUCCGCUGGACGAACUUGGCGCCCCGUGCUUCGGGCAGUUAUUUUUGGGUACAGCUGUUCCCGAGGCCUAUUUUUGGCACGCGGAGGCCCCUCGCAAACUCUCGCGACAUUCCGAGUCUGGCGGACGAAGUGGGCCAGCCCCACCCCCCAAGGCUAUAGCCCACCCAUUUUUGUGGACUUUUUCCGCUGGACGAAGUUGGCGCCCCG
rnacentral:lncRNA from 1 species